GCCAGUGUGGUGUAGUGGUUUGAGUGUUGGACUACAACUCUAGAGAUCAGGGUUCAAUACUCCGAUUGGCC